rnacentral:sRNA from 1 species
CCUUCACAAUCCACAUACGCCUGUGCACAGUUUUGGCUUUUGAGCAAUCGAAAGCCAAUCAUUUUAUACAAACCCCUAGUUUAAUGAAUGUAACCGUUUUAUAUAAACAAAAUAAAACUUUCAACAACGGAUCUCUUGGUUCUCGCAUCGAUGAAGAACGCAACGAAAUGCGAUAAGUAAUGUGAAUUGCAGAAUUCAGUGAAUCAUCGAAUCUUUGAACGCACCUUGCGCUCCUUGGUAUUCCGAGGAGCAUGCCUGUUUGAGUGUCAUGAAACUCUCAACCUCUGACUUUCUUAAUCGUCGGUCAGCGGCUUGGAUGUGGGCGCUGCCGGUCUUAAUUGAUCGGCUCGCCUGAAAAACAUUAGCGAAUCCCUUCUGUAAUCGGUUCCACUCGACGUGAUAAGUAUUUCGUCGAGGACAUCUUUAUUGAUGGCCGAGAUAAAGCUGGUUUAAGAUCUGCUUCUAACUCUUUCGUUGCCUUUUGGUAAAGAAAACC